AUACGGAGGGUGCAAGCGUUACUCGGAAUCACUGGGCGUAAAGCGCACGCAGGCGGGCUGAUAAGUUGGAUGUGAAAGCCUACGGCUCAACCGUAGAACUGCAUCCAAAACUAUUAGACUAGAGUGUGGGAGAGGAAGAUGGAAUUAGUUGUGUAGGGGUAAAAUCCGUAGAGAUAACUAGGAAUACCAAAAGCGAAGGCAAUCUUCUGGAACACUACUGACGCUGAGGCGCGAAAGCGUGGGGAGCAAACAGGAUUAGAAACCCUAGUAGUCC
rnacentral:rRNA from 1 species